AGGGACCGGUGCCUUGUGCCAGAGAGUGACCCGAUCCGUAUUUCACAGCAGCUGAAAACCACAUCUCACUCUUGGAGCCAACCCUGCCCGGGAGGGUCUC